GUCUGUGGAAAGGAGGAACUACUACAAG
rnacentral:piRNA from 1 species